CCUACGGGUGGCUGCAGUGGGGAAUUUUCCGCAAUGGGCGAAAGCCUGACGGAGCGACGCCGCGUGGGUGAAGAAGUCUUUCGGGAUGUAAAGCCCUGUCAGUAGGGAUGAAAAAAAUGACAGUACCUACAGAGGAAGCAUCGGCUAACUACGUGCCAGCAGCCGCGGUAAUACGUAGGAUGCAAGCGUUGUUCGGAAUUACUGGGCGUAAAGAGUACGUAGGCGGCAUAUCAAGUCUGAUAUUAAAGACCGGGGCUUAACCUCGGGAAUGUAUC
rnacentral:rRNA from 1 species